GACGAACGCUGGCGGCGUGCUUAACACAUGCAAGUCGAACGGUAAGGCCCUUCGGGGUACACGAGUGGCGAACGGGUGAGUAACACGUGGGUGAUCUGCCCUGCACUUCGGGAUAAGCCCGGGAAACUGGGUCUAAUACCGGAUAGGACUGCGCGGUGCAUGCCGUGUGGUGGAAAGAUUUAUCGGUGCAGGAUGGGCCCGCGGCCUAUCAGCUUGUUGGUGGGGUAAUGGCCUACCAAGGCGACGACGGGUAGCCGGCCUGAGAGGGCGACCGGCCACACUGGGACUGAGACACGGCCCAGACUCCUACGGGAGGCAGCAGUGGGGAAUAUUGCACAAUGGGCGCAAGCCUGAUGCAGCGACGCCGCGUGAGGGAUGACGGCCUUCGGGUUGUAAACCUCUUUCAGCAGGGACGAAGCGUGAGUGACGGUACCUGCAGAAGAAGCACCGGCCAACUACGUG
rnacentral:rRNA from 1 species